AUUUAUUUCACGUUUAGUUGGAGAAUAUGUAUACGCUGCUACAAGUCUUCAGUGUGAAAUUAGCUUGUAGAUAAAACAAGAGGACAGGGACAGGGACAGGCUCUGGUUGUGCCACACACACACACACACGAUGUAAUUCCUCAUUAUUUGUGCCUGCCAAACUUUAUUUGCCAAAAUGUGAUGAUUUAUAAUGUUGCUUGUAAGUUAAGCUCAGUUCGGUUGAAACUCAAACGCUCAUUCCAUGUUUUAGUUCACAGAAAGUGAUGUAAUCAUUGUACUGCCAGAAAUAUUUUGAUGAUGGUUAUUUUAAAAUCGCAUUUAUAGCAUGAUCUCCAGGUAUUUUUUUUUUUUAUCUCGUUCUCCCAGGAUCAGCCCUUUCCAAAGACAUUCUUCAUAGUUUACUACUGAACAAUGGCAAAUUUAUUUGUUACAAUUUGUACAAGGAAGUAACAUUUUGCAGUGAACAAAGUGGAGCUCCCAUUAAAGGACAAAAAGCUAUCUCUAAAAUAAAGGAUUGCUUUGUUUAAAACACCCAUACAACCAUGCCAAUGUGCAUACUUGCUUUAGAUUUCAACUUUCAUGUGGCCUUGAGUUGAAGAUGAGGUCAUGUCUGUCUUUUGUCCUUUUCUGAUGUAUAAUUGCUCUAUAAUUAUUUGAUGUAAAGUUAGGAAUCAUAAAAAGCAAGCUGUGCAGGUAACUGUUCUAUAGCAGCACACGAUCCUAUAAAUAAAUUCUAGUACUUCAUAACACAAGAAUGCAACCGAUCAAGGUCAGAUGUGAUGUAUUUCCUAAGCUAUUAUUAUAAUACAAAAUAUCUGUUAUUUUAAAUUACAAUUGUAUUUGUAUGAAAAUAAACCUGAUCAUUUAACCAGAAUUUUUUAUAGCAAAAUAGUCUUAUUAAUAUUCUACACACAUUACUUACCAUUUGUACUAAUGUCAUUUGUCAUUAAAUCUGACUGGCCAGUAAAAGUGAGUGAUUCACAAGGAGGAUGUCGAGUUGGUGAUUUUGAAUUUUGGACUAUCCUCUCUAGACCAACACAGGUUGAUUGAUUCAUUCAGUUUGGCACUGUCCAGGAAAUGAUUUGCAUAAUGUGCUGCAAGAUAAUAAAAAUUUCAUGCAGACUGA